rnacentral:rRNA from 1 species
GUACGGGAGGCAGCAGUCGAGAAUUUUUGACAAUGGGGGAAACCCUGAUCGAGCGACGCCGCGUGGAGGAUGAAGGUCUUCGGAUUGUAAACUCCUGUCAUUGGGGAACAAGAUGCAUACGUUAACUGCGUGUGUAUUGAUAGUACCCGAAGAGGAAGAGACGGCUAACUCUGUGCCAGCAGCCGCGGUAAUACAGAGGUCUCAAGCGUUGUUCGGAUUCAUUGGGCGUAAAGGGUGCGUAGGCGGCGCGGUAAGUCGGGUGUGAAAUCUCGGAGCUUAACUCCGAAACUGCAUUCGAUACUGCCGUGCUUGAGGACUGGAGAGGAGACUGGAAUUUACGGUGUAGCGGUGAAAUGCGUAGAUAUCGUAAGGAAGACCAGUGGCGAAGGCGGGUCUCUGGACAGUUCCUGACGCUGAGGCACGAAGGUCAGGGGAGCAAACGGGCUUAGAUACCCUGGUAGA